CGUUGAGUGAUAAGUAGAAGCAGAUAGGCAAAUAAGUACACAUGCAUAUACAUAUACAAGUUUAUGUUCGUAGAAGUAGUUGGAUGAGCAGGCCACGUCAUUUUGGCAUUUCACAUCGGCAGCAAUUUUGAUCGAAUAUAUCACAUUCGCCAACAUUGGAUUAACAUAUACAUAUGUAUGUAAGCGCAUAUGUUCGAAUGUGUUAGGUGGCGUUAAGAGAUCGACCGUAGCAGAAACGUUGAGGUCGUAUAACAUUCAUGUGAAACCGUGUGAAAACAAACGAAAAUAAUUAAACAUUUAGAUGGGGCGUCAAGUUAAAUAUGCACUUUUCUAUGUAACAGUAAACUUAUCUGGCUAACUGGUUACUUGGUUUAUUUUGCGCAAUACAAACAUAGCAAACACACGUGCAAGUUGUUACCGAAUACGCUAACAGUAUUAAUCGUUAGCUUUUUGAAGGUUUUAUAUACAUACAUACAUAAUUUAAACAAUCGAAAGAAUUAGUUGAUGUGAUUUUGGUUAAAAUUUAAACAAGCGACAUUAAAGCAUUAUUUCUAAUGUUGGAAAUUAAUAUAUUCAUUUUGGUAAUUCCCCGAUGUAGUAGAAAAAAAAUCCAUAAAAUAGUUACCCCUUAAAGUUAAAAAAAACAGAAAAGAGAAAAACGCAGACCUUUGGUCACAUUUCGAAUGAAACAGUGUUGAGGAAUUAAGAAAAAUAUAUCUUGCAAAAACAUUUGGCUAACAAUUUCUGUUGUUCUAUAUGUUUAGAAAAACAUUUUUUUCUGAAAAUAACUUUUACUGGGAAACUGUUAAAUUAAAUGUAAAGAUACCAACAUUUUCACAUACAAACAUUUUGCAUUUGCGAAGGCUUGCAUGAGAAAUAACAACGCCAGUUCAUAAAGAUGAGAAAAAAAAGGGUGAAACCGGAAAUGCGAAUUAAACACAUGUAUGUAUAUAUGUACACACAUGCAAGUCCAAUUUACAAGUGAGACUAGGGCAUAACAUGGUACAACAUUUUUCCAAGUUACACGUAUAUGAAGUUUGCGAACCAGAAUUUUCUUUUGUAUCCGCCGUCAUCACUUUAUAAUGUUAAAAGCAACAAAAUUUAAUGCUAUUGCCGCUAUUGAGUGUUGGAUUAACAAGCUGCAACUUGUCCAUUUUGGGAAUAGAUACAUCGGUCAGUGACUGCCUAUUGAAAUUUACGUCUAUAUUGAUACAACAUCGAGUGACUAGAAAACAUUGACUGCCGGCCCUCUUUCUAUGACUAUUUAUCUACUUGAGUAUUAUGUAAAAGCACACAAAUCGAUUAGGAAACAUUUUUCAUUAAUUAAAUGAUCAUGUUCUGUCAGAUGCGAUUUGUAGAUUAGUUAUAAACACUUGAGCAAACCUUUAAAUGACAUCCUAUGGGCGUUACGACGGCUAUUUGGACUAGUGAAUAGACAUACAUACACGCAAGUAUAUGUAUACACUGCGCGUCACCAGUCACUUUUCGACAGUACUUGAAAUUUUAAAAAAGUUGGCAGAAGUCGAAAUUUUAUAUAAAAUUUUUUGCGAAAUACGGUCGAAAUAAUUAAGACUGUACCAAAAAAGUUAUUUCCGAUGUUAACAAAAGAACAAUUUUGAGAAAAGAAUCAACUCCCAUGAAUCGACUGCCAAAUGCUGGUGUUAAAGUGAGCUUAUCUACUGUUCAAAGGGUGUUAAGGAAUGCUCCAUAUUUGAGACUAUUAAAACUAAAGGAAAAACCACCACUUAAGAUACAUUUUGCCAUCAAUGAAAUAGAAAAGGCUCGCAAAGUUUUCGAGUCUGGCCAGCAAUAUUCCACAAAGAGGUAUUAGUUGAAGGUAAUUAAAAGUCUUGAUCAUCAAUUUCCUUAAAUUACGAGUAUAUUGGAACAUUUUACGAGUCGCUACCCAAUCAAAUCUUUGAGAUCAUUCUGAACUAGGAGAAUCGACUCUUUAUUAAAAUAAUAUAUAAAUGUUUAAAUAAGUUAGUACAUAAGGUUACAAAUAUGUUCUUAGCCAAACAUUUUAAAGAAUAUUGAAAAAAGGUAAUAUGUGCGAACCUGAUGACCUAAUUUGAAUUGUUAAUUUUUUUGUUGAGUAUGGAAAAAUAUGGAAAAAAGAUGAAACACUAA